GACGGGGGAUGCGAGCGUUAUCCGGAAUGAUUGGGCGUAAAGGGUCCGCAGGUGGCCCGGUCAGUCCGCUGUCAAAGCCUGGGGCUCAACCCUGGAGAGGCGGCGGAGACCACCGGGCUUGAGUCCGGUAGGGGCAGAGGGAAUUCCCGGUGGAGCGGUGAAAUGCGCAGAUAUCAGGAAGAACACCCGUGGCGAAGGCGGUUCUCUGGGACGGUACUGACGCUGAGACGCGAAAGCGUGGGGAGCGAACAGG
rnacentral:rRNA from 1 species